CCCCGCCGUAAGGCCGAAAGGAGUAAAAUGGCUGCUUCAGAGGCCGGGCCCGAACACUUUCGACGGCGAUCGCCGCGCCUCCUGGUUUUGUGUUGAGGUGGGCGGGCGGAAGGGCCUAGUUUCCCGGUGGAACCGGCUUCUAGGAUUUCUACUGCUGCAGACAUGGAAGAGGAGAACCAGCACUCACCAGUCAGGGAGGGUUCGGCACAUAGUGGUGAGAAGCCAGCCAGCGAACCUUCCCUUGAUUCGGAUUGGGACCAAUCAGGCACCCUCUGUAUUGGCCACAUUAUCAUUUUGGCUUUGCAGCAGGCUGUGGGCAGUGGCUUAGCAGGGGAACUGAAAGAUCCGGCGAGUGAGAAAGAUGCAGACUGCAAGUGCACAAGUCAAAGUAAAUGGUGUUGGAAUUCUAGAACUGAAGGUUUUGGAGGAAGCUGGCUGGGAACUGGGGACUUUGCCUUGGCCUAUGAUAGAAAUGAUCCAAUGGGUGAGGUUUUUCAGGCUCCUUCUUCUGGUAUAAUGCCUGCCUUGGCUGGAAUAUUGAAUUAUCUGGACUGGCCAUAUCAUAUGCCCCGGGAAGUCGAGAGCUCUACAGAUGCCCAGGCGG
rnacentral:lncRNA from 1 species